rnacentral:lncRNA from 1 species
UAGCUGUCUUCAGACACAUCAGAAGAGGGCAUCGGAUCCCAUUUCAGAUGGUUGUGAGCCACCAUGUGAUUGCCGGAAAUUGAACUCAGGACCUUUGGAAGAGCAGUCAGUGCUCUUAAACCGCUGAACCAUCUCUCCAGCCCCCAUGAAGAAAAAUUUUUAAAGGGCUGUAAUGAUUCACCUUCAAAGAAGCAGUGGAGGCUAACUUUUAAGUAACUUUUAAAAAAUUAAUAUACUAUAUAUAUGGACACCAGGGGCAGAAAACUGAUGGAGUUAAAGUUAAUGGAAUGAUUGUAUUUUGAGGUAUUUGAUGUUUUUAUCAAGACAGGGUCUCAUGUAGUCCAAGCAGCCUUAAACUCAUGAUCUCCUUCCCUCUGCCUUUUAGACACUGGGAUUGGUGGCAUGAGUCACCAUGUCCAGCUUCUUUGUGGUUUGUUUGAUGUUUCUGUUGUCCUUAGAGACUCAUCUAAGGUAUCACUGCUUCUAGAGCCAGCGAUUGCAUAAGGCCCCUUGAUUGAAUUUAAACAGUCUCCUAGAUUGAUUCUGCCUCCCAACAAGAACAAACUGAGGAAGUGAUGAGCCACGUAGCCGGUGACCCUUAGAGUUUUAGAUGUGCGGUUCCCUUCAUGUAUACUUUACA